rnacentral:pre_miRNA from 1 species
AAUAGAAUUGCUGGGUUAUAUUAUAAGUAAAUUUUUAAUGUCAUAAGAAACUGCCAAGUUGUUUUCCAAAAUGGCUGUAUAAUUUUAUACUCCCAGCAGCAAU